CCUACGGGAGGCAGCAGUGAGGAAUAUUGGUCAAUGGGCGCUAGCCUGAACCAGCCAAGUAGCGUGAAGGAUGACUGCCCUAUGGGUUGUAAACUUCUUUUAUAUGGGAAUAAAGUGCAGUAUGUAUACUGCUUUGCAUGUACCUUAUGAAUAAGGAUCGGCUAACUCCGUGCCAGCAGCCGCGGUAAUACGGAGGAUCCGAGCGUUAUCCGGAUUUAUUGGGUUUAAAGGGAGCGUAGGCGGGUUGUUAAGUCAGUUGUGAAAGUUUGCGGCUCAACCGUAAAAUUGCAGUUGAUACUGGCAUUGUGGAGUGCAGUAGAGGGAGGCGGAAUUCGUGGUGUAGCGGUGAAAUGCGUAGAUAUCACGAAGAACGCCGAUGGCGAAGGCAGCCUGCUGGACUGUAACUGACGCUGAUGCACGAAAGGGUGAGUAUCAAGCAGGAUUAGAUACUGUAGUC
rnacentral:rRNA from 1 species